AUCCGCAGUUAGAAAGUGCGAAACUAUUUGACGGGAUUAAAUAGGGCCAAAACGUAAAACUGUUUCUCCCCAAAACCAAUCAAAGCUUGCGAGCUGCUAAUUAAAUUAUAAAACAUACAGAAGCGUUGAAGACGUCGCAGACCGAACCAAACCAAGCCCACAAUCCCCGCUCGUUGGCCUAUUUCGCUGGACUAAACGGAAGAUAUAGGGAGUGCGAAACAGGGAGAGAGAGUGUAAAACGAGACACACGGCUGGCUAAUAGGAGCUCAGCGCACUAUGUAGAAGUCCGACUCGACGCCAAGGGGAAACCAACUAGCGAGCAGAAGCGUAGUAGAAGCACCACAGUAGCAGAGGACUAAACAAAAGCCACGCCAUGUCUAUACUGACCAGCCUGAAGAAGGUCUUCCACAUCGGUGGCGGGGAGGCCAAGAAGAAGCGGCUCUACAACAACAUCAAGAUGGACACAAACCCGGAGGAUUUCUGGGAGAUGGUCGGUGAGCUGGGCGACGGCGCCUUUGGCAAGGUGUACAAGGCCCAGCACAAGGAACAGAAGCGCUUCGCCGCCGCCAAGAUGUGUACGCUGGAGGACGAGGAGAAUCUCAGCGACCACAUGGUGGAGAUCGAUAUUCUCUCGGAGAUCAAGCACCCCAAUGUGGUGGAGCUGUACGAGGCCUUCUCCCUUGACGAUAAGCUGUGGAUGCUCAUCGAGUACUGCGAUGGCGGAGCCCUGGACAGCAUUAUGGUGGAGCUGGAGAAGCCACUAACUGAGCCGCAAAUUGCCUACGUGUGCAAGCACAUGACCGAGGGCCUAACCUUCCUGCACCGCAACAAGGUCAUCCAUCGCGACUUGAAGGCCGGCAACGUUCUGCUCACCAUGGAGGGUGGCGUCAAGCUGGCGGACUUUGGCGUCUCGGCCAAGAACAAACACACGAUGCAGAAGCACGACACUUUCAUCGGCACGCCCUACUGGAUGGCGCCAGAGCUGGUGUUGUGCGAAACGUUCCGGGACAACCCGUACGAUCACAAAGUGGACGUCUGGUCACUGGGCAUAACGCUAAUCGAGCUGGCCCAAAUGGAGCCGCCCAACAGCGAGAUGUCGCCGAUGCGUGUCCUCCUCAAGAUCCAAAAGAGUGAGCCGCCCAAGCUGGAGCAGCCGGCCAGGUGGAGCAAGGAAUUCAAUGACUUCCUCAAGAAGUCUUUAGUCAAGGAUCCCCAGCAGAGGCCGACGACGGAUGUCCUGCUGCAGCAUAGCUUCAUCAGCAGGGACAUGGACGCAAAGCCGAUUAAGGACCUGCUGCUCGAGUACAAGGCUGAGGUCGUUGAGGAGGUGGUGGACGACGAGACCGAGGAACCCCGCAACUCGGCGCUCCAGCUCGACCUGGACGAUGACUCUGCUUCGCUGCAGAGCCAAGACAUUGACAAACUUCCAGGUACACCUACAUCCAUUUUGCGGGAUGCCAAAGAGCAGCCCCAACCAAGUAGCAGUUUACCAACCGCUGCAGCAGCAGCAGCAGCAGCAGCGACAACUGCACCCACAACAACUAAAGCCACCACUCCGGACAGACCAAACCACAACAAGGAUGACAAUGUUGAGCCGGCAGCCCAGCAGCCGCCGCAUACCAAAGUGCCUGCCCCAGCGCCGCCGUCGCCCCAAAAAACACCACCACCCCCACAACUUCCUGCACCAGCAGCUGCAGCAGCAGCAGCAGCAGUGGUGGCAGCUGUUGCAGAGGCAGCUGAAAGAACCGAGUCCGAUAAAAAGCACUUUGUCAAGAAGGAGAAGGGUAAAGCGCCGCCACCACCCAUGGCUGUUGCAGUCGCCGCUAACGCAGCGAAGCAGCCAACUGUCGAUACUCCGGUGUCGCCCAAGAAGGUGUCCACUCCCGAGCCCUCAUCGCCAGUCACCACAGCUAUCGAAGUGGCCAUUGGACAGGAGACCGUUGAGCCAAAACCGCAGCCACCCUCGCCCACCGCCUCGUCCAUUGUGUCCGUGCAGUCAGUGGCCUCGUCUAGCUCCUCGGGAAGCGUUUCCAAUGCGAGAACGCUCAGCUCUAGCACUUCCCUGAUAACCAUUAACAGUGACGCCCCAGCGCCGCAACAGCCGCCGCCACAGCCGCAGCACGUGGUAUUGCCAAAUAGCUUGGAGUCGGUGAGCCAAAUCACCGUGGUAACUAGCACCCAUCCGCCGGUGAUUAUCGACAACUCGGUUGCACCAUCGGAGGUGAUUAUCGUGUCCAAUGACCUGAACAAGAGCACUCACCUGAACGAAUCCUCCACGGACGACGACUUCCCAUCGCUGGACGACAGCUUGGGUGAUUCUGGCACGCCACCCUACAAACAGUCCUCCAUGAUAUUGGCGGUCAAUGAUCCGGCAGGAGUGGUGCCUGCCCCACCGCAGCAGCCCCAUAAUGCCACCACCACUGUCCAUGCCCGCAAGCUGGACGAGAGCGAGGUACUGAUCGUGAGUCCAUCGUAUGCGGACGAUGAUUCCGCUUAUAAUACGGCAUCGGGCAGCCAUAGUCACGAUCACAGUGACCAGCUGAUGGACACCAGCCACGUGUCCGUCGUCACUGUGGGCGACGAGGGUGUGAAGGUGAAGGACAGCAGCAACGAGAUGGAGGGCCACAAGCGCCAGCCAAACGGAGUGGUACCGGAGGACGUGAACAUCAUUGUGAACCGAUUCAAGCCGGAGAAGCGAUCGCCGGACAGCUCGCUGAGCGAGAACGGCUCUGUGCGAGGACGGCGGGGCAUCGAAGUGCAAGUAAGCGGCAGCGGAGGCUCCGACGUGGACAGCGUUGGCACCAACACUAGUCAUGACAGUCGCCACGAGGUGGAUCACAACAACAAGCAGCAGUCGCAACAGCCACCGGCGGCAGUACUGAUGCCGCCGCCACCUCCCUCCGUGACGAAUAAUCACAAUCACAUGACCAUCGACGAGGAGGAGGAGGUGGUCAUCCGGCCCAGGGCCAGGGCUCCGCCUGUGGUCAAGUCCCACCAGGGGCUCACCAAGGAGGAGAUCGAACUGCGGAACCUGCGCAAGAAAACGCGCAAACGCACCCGCAAGUUCGAGAUCGAUGGCGUGCAAAUGACCACGACCACGAGUCGGGUGAUCUACGGCGACGAGGAGAACGGCCGAAUCUACGAUGAUCACGACUUCCGGAAGCUGGAGUUGCGGGAGCUGAAGAUGCUCCAGAAGCAGGAGAAGAAGCAGCAGACUGAACUGCACAUCAAGGAGCAACAGGCCAAGGAGCAGCAGGACCGCCGCUUCGAGCAGGAGCACUCGUCGCUGGAGAAGACCUACGAAGCGGAUAUGGAUAUGCUGGCGCGCCAGCACAAGCAGCUGGUGGAGAAAACCGAGCAGACGCAGGAGAACGAGCUGCGCUCCUCGUCGAAGCGCAUCCGCUCCGAGCAGGAGCAGGAGCUGAAAAUCUUCCGGGAGAACCUGAAGCAGGAGAUCCGCUUGCUCAAGCAGGAGGUCGACCUCUUCCCCAAGGACAAGCGCAAGGACGAGUUCAAGCAGCGGCGAUCGGCCAUGGAACUGGAUCACGAGGAAAAGGAGCGCGCCUUCCUCGAUUCGCUCAAGGAGCGGCACGAGCUUCUGUUGCGGCGGUUGAGUGAGAAGCACCGGGAGCAUCUGGCCAGCAUCAAUCGCAACUUCCUGCAACAAAAGCAGAAUGCGAUGCGGACGCGUGAGGCUCUGCUCUGGGAACUGGAGGAGAAGCAGCUGCACGAACGCCACCAGCUGUCCAAGCGGCACGUCAAGGAGCUCUGCUUCAUGCAGCGCCAUCAGAUGAUCAUCCGGCACGACAAGGAGCUGGAGCAGGUGAAGCGCAUGUUGCUGCGCAAGGAGGAGGAUCUGGUCAAGAAGCAGACGCUGGAGAAGCGCGCCCUCCCCAAGCGAAUCCGAGCUGAGCGCAAGGCCCGCGACCUAAUGUUCCGGGAAUCGUUGCGCAUUUCAACGAAUCUGGAUCCAGACAUCGAACGCGAGCGCCUCAAGAAGUUCCAGGAGCAGGAGAAGAAGCGCUACAUGCAAGAGGAGCGCCGCUUCGAGGUCAAGCAUCAGAAGCAAUUAGAAGAGCUACGUGCCACACGUGAAUCCGCCAUAAGAGAACUGGAGCAGCUGCAGAACGAGAAGCGCAAGGCCUUGGUGGAGCACGAGCAGACCAAGCUGUCGGAGAUCGACGACCGCCUGAAGGCGGAGCUGCGCGAGUGGCGCGAACAGCUGGCGCCCCGCAAACAGAAACUGAAUGAAUCCAUCAAGGCGGCCAUCGAUCUGCACGAGCAGCGCCACGGCCUGGUGGUCAAUCGGGAGGAGUUCGAGGACCAGGAGGUGGAGCUGCCGGUGCGCCUGCGCGGCAUAUUCAACGAGCGAUCCUCGCGCCUCAUUCCACGCAACACCUUCAUCGACACCCAACAGAUGCCUCGGUCGCGCUCUUCGCUCCUGAUGAUGGGCGGCGGUGGCAGUCGGCUGGCCAACUUCCGAGGAUCGGCACCAGAUCUGAGUCGCAGUGUGCCCAGUACUCCCAUCUUCCACAAGCAGCAGCGCUCCCAGAUGAUCAGCGACCUAGUGCUGGAAGAGGACGAGGAGCAGUUACUGGCUGAGCAGAUGAAGCGGGCCAGCGUCACGACUCUGCCCGCCCAGAGCCAGCUGCGCCUGAUAACCCAGUCGCCGGCCAACGAGCUGGUCAAAGUGGUGACCACCCCGCCGGUGUUGAACAGUGCCGAGGAUGCUAGCUCCAAGCCAGCCAUGAGCACGUUUAGAGGAAGCACUCCACCGAAAACGCCCGACGAUCUGGGCCUGGUGAGCAACCGCUUCAGUCGCGUUGACCCCAAGGCGGCAGCCGACGCCAGCGUGGAGCUGCGGAUCCACGAAGGGCCCGUCCUGACGGCCCACACCCAGCGCCUGCUGCACUCCACCUCGUUUGCGAUAAAGCGACCCUCGCUGGCCAGCCGGAGCAGCGGCCGAUCCUCGCUCAGCAGCGCCCAGUCCAUGUAUAAUAUUAGCGAGCUCACCACCCGUUUCGCCAGCGAUGCGGACGUGAUCUUUGAUUCCGGGCGCAAGGCGGCCGCGCUGCUGGACGAGGUGCAGCCACAGCUGAGAUCAUCGGUGAAGCCGGGACACAGUCGCCUGAAUGGAAGCGUUGCCUCGGCGGACUCGGCAGCCUCCUCAGAUGAUUUCUACUACGAUUUGUAUGCCGCCAAGUACAGGCUGCCGAGGAUCAACCAGCGGCAGCACAGCUGCGAGGAGGAUUCGUCGGCGAUCUAGGAGCGCCAAGAAGGCUCCUGCUCCAGCUCAUGCACCUCGGCCACUCCACUAACAAUCCAAUUGAACAUUUCUACUCACACCCACUAACCCAGACACUCCUCCCUUCUGGUGCUGGCUAACUGCAAAUCCCCACUAGUCCAUCCACUAACAUAUCAUCUUGCUAACCAACUCGGUAGAGACUAUCGUAACCCUAACUCCCUUCUGCUCUGCAUCCGCAUCUGAAUCCUCAUUGGAGAAUGCCAUACACUCUGUCUUGCCAAUGUUUAUUAUGUUUAUUAUGUUUGCAAUUGCAAUUUUAUUGAACGAAAAACAUUAUAGUUUAUGUUGAAAGUAUUGUUCUGACUUGGACCAGCCUUCCGCCUCCAAAUACAUUCCAUUGUAGCAGUAUUAUACAAAGUACUUAGUAAAAAACGAAAUCAGUAAUGAGAAAAAAGAAAAAAAGAAAGAAAUCAAUCGACAUUCCAUACUUAGCCACAUGCCAAGCAUUGUAUAGCCAUAUCUUACUCUAAACAUUUUUAUAAAUAUUUACAUAAACGCAUUAUAAUAUCGUGCUGAAACUUUCAUGAUGCUUCACUGUACACACACUCACUCUUGAAUAAAAACCAUGUACACAUCCAAACCAACAAAAAACGCGCUGCUAUCGAAACAAAAAAAAACAAAAACCAAAAAUCUAUAUCCGAAAACUUUUCUUGCCGGCUCUCCUCCUCACCUCGUAAUGUGUAAAGCAACUACAGCAGCGGCUGCAACAAGAGCGCCUGGAGGAGACCUUCGCCCAGCAGAUGGACGAAAUGGAGUCGCUGUACGGUGGUGCCCUCAUUGUCUCCAUGCCCUCGGAUACCCUGCAGCGAGAUCAUUUCACCGGUUCGACGCGCAGCAGCCUCAGUUCCUAUUCCGAGGGCUGAAGGUCCUGGGACAGGAGUCUGUCGGUGGACAAACGGAGGAACAAUAGAAUGCGGCAUCAGAACAUCAGUUCCAGCGGCGACGACGACGACAGACAGCUGUGCGCAGAAUGCAACAAAACAAAAAUUGUCAGCCAUCCAUUAAGGCUUCCGCCGGAGGAAAGGAGAACGCUUCUCUCCCUGCUUAUAGAUAGAUAGAUAGAGAGUGUAUUCAGAUACAGAUACAUAUAUUUUAGCUGGACAUGUUCGUGGGUAUGUCGUGCCAAGCAGCGCGUCAGGUGAAGCUUAAGUUUUUCGUGUCGUAACCCGUAAACCGUAACGCCGUAUGGUAUAAGUUUAAUUUUAUGAUUUUGCAUUGUAUGUUAGCUUAUUAUUCUAAUAAUAUUAUUACUAUGUACAUGUCUAUCGAUCAGUUGAAUAAUCCAAUUCGUUAAAUUAUCAUGCCAAUGCCGCAGAUACAGGUACUGCUGCCUGUACUCGCAUCAGGGCAUCAAAUAUGUUAAAUGUGCACGAGCCGUCGCGAGAAAAACUAAAUCUACUUAAUAUUUAUCUAUGUUUAGCACACAACACAAUGGACAAACAAACAAACAAACAAACAUACAUACGUACACCAAACAAAUAUCUUUGUUGACCUUAUCGCUAUUGUAAAUAUAUCUAUUAACAUACACACAU
rnacentral:misc_RNA from 1 species